UACGUAGGAGGCGAGCGUUGUCCGGAAUUACUGGGCGUAAAGCGCGCGUAGGCGGUCUUUCGCGUAGGCGGUGAAAGCCCCCGGCUCACCCGGGGGAGGUCCGUCUAAACGGGGAGACUCGAGGGCGGUAGGGGCCGGUGGAACGCCCGGAGUAGCGGUGAAAUGCGUUGAGAUCGGGCAGAACACCAGUGGCGAAGGCGGCCGGCUGGGCCGUACCUGACGCUGAGGCGCGAAAGCCAGGGGAGCGAACGGAAUUAGAUACUCCGGUAGUCCUGGCCCUAAACGAUGGCAACUAGGUGUGGGGGGUAUCGACCCCCUCCGUGCCGCAGCACACGCGAUAAGUUGCCCGCCUGGGGAGUACGGCCGCAAGGCUAAA
rnacentral:rRNA from 1 species